rnacentral:rRNA from 1 species
AGAGUUUGAGUCCUGGCUCAGGAUGAACGCUGGCGGCGUGCUUAACACAUGCAAGUCGAACGGAAAGGCCCAAGCUUGCUUGGGUACUCGAGUGGCGAACGGGUGAGUAACACGUGGGUGAUCUGCCCUGCACUUCGGGAUAAGCCUGGGAAACUGGGUCUAAUACCGGAUAGGACCACUUCGUAGGUGUUGUGGUGGAAAGUUUUUCGGUGUGGGAUGAGCUCGCGGCCUAUCAGCUUGUUGGUGGGGUAAUGGCCUACCAAGGCGUCGACGGGUAGCCGGCCUGAGAGGGUGUACGGCCACAUUGGGACUGAGAUACGGCCCAGACUCCUACGGGAGGCAGCAGUGGGGAAUAUUGCACAAUGGGCGGAAGCCUGAUGCAGCGACGCCGCGUGGGGGAUGACGGCCUUCGGGUUGUAAACUCCUUUCGCCAAAGACGAAUUUUUGACGGUAUUUGGAGAAGAAGCGCCGGCUAACUACGUG